UGCCCUCCCCUUUUUUGACCAUAGAUGUAAUUUGCAAAUGUCAUCUCGUGUUUCUCUUUCGUAUCUGCAUUUGAGAAAAGGUAUGAUUGCUGCAUCUCUGAUCCCAACUCCGGAGCUCCUCGGCACUGCCCCUCAGGAAGAGGUGUUCUCAGUGGAGCCUGGAGAGCUUGAAAAUGGUCUGAAGCCAAAAGCAGUGAGAGCCCAGUGCUUAAGACUGCCACAGGCAGAAGCGCUUGCAGAGGUCUUCAGAACUUCAGGUCAAAGGUCCAGAAAUAGACAACUGAGUCCACUCUCUCAAGUGUGCUUUGUGCCCACGGAGGAAGGUUCUUCAAAGUGACCCUGGAGAGCAGCUUUUCUAGCAACUCUGAUAAGCGUAACUGAACCAUCCAGCAUGUUUGCUUGGACAGAUUUCUAGAGAAUUCUCCGCGUCUUUUAUUUUCCCGAGGAACUCCAGUGUCCUAGAGGAAAGCUCUCAGCACGGGGUGGGAGGGGAGGUCUCGGGCUGCGCGUGUUUGCGCCUGGCUGGUCUCAGGGUGGCGGAAAGGCUUUCAGCCCGCCCUGUUUCUCGGGAAGAUCACCAGACCUUUCCAUCAAACAGGACCUUUUCCUCUGGCCCAUUUCUGUGUUCUCUUUUGGGAGAGGGUUUGGAAGGUGAGGAGGUUUAUCUAACGAAGUCCUGUUACAACACACACACACACACACACACACACACACACUUCCUUUGACAAAGCAGUUCUUCCUCAAGGGGAUCUUCGGGAACCUCGAGGAGGGUGGUGGGCUCUGUCUGAGUUGGCCAGCCACCAUGGUGGACUCACUUGGGGCAGGUACAAAAUCCAGCAGCGACGCUCGACGGGCACAGCCUGGGUCUGAAGGCUCCUGGGUGCUCUCACGGAGACCCAUCUAAAGCCCCGCCACUCCACAGAUGGCCCCUCAGCCAUCUGCCCAGGGGGUGCCAGGUCAUCCGAUGGUCCCUUUUCCUCUUGGCUGUUGCCCUCUCCACGUGACCUUCCCUGCAGGCCUCGGGGGUGUCUCUGUCCCCCAGAGUCACCUCCAAGCCUGGCUCACGUUUCCCUUGGUGGGAAGCUGGGUGGACCAGCCUCCGCACCCUCUGCCUCUGAUUCCUGGCCCCGGCUUGGGCUGAAGCUGCUUGGGAAGGCCUUUCGUGAACUCAGAGUCCGCGGUGCGCUUUCCUCCCUCUUCCCUGCCGGCCUCUGUCCAGUUCUGCAGCCAGCUUGGUAACGAACUUUUCAGGGACUGAAUCCAACAGACUUCCCACCAGAGAAGUCCUGUCCUGGGGGCAGGCAAGGGAGCAGAGCAUUGGCUGUUGCAUGUGCUGGGCCCCUCUCCGGUGUCCACGGCUUCCCACGCCUGCUUUCCCGUCUCUCCUUGGACCUGCUGCUCCCUAUUAUUUCACUUCCUCUUUUUCUACCUGAACCGUGGGUAGCCGUGCUCCCCGGCUUGCCUCCCCUGCUCUGGGAGUCUUUGCUGAGCGUGCCCAGGCCCUGCCUCGCAGACCAAGGGGGAAGGAAAGAGAAGGCUGAGGUAAAGAGAAGGGGGACCUUGGGCAGAGACCAGGCUGGACGGGAAGAGCCCUGUCUUUGGAACCUGUAGGUGGCCCCGUGUGACGGGAGAACAGUCAAAGGUGAAAAGAGAAGAGGUACAGGCAGGGGACAGGGGACAGGGUGAUGCACGUUCCUCAUGAUUUUGAAGUUGGUGCUGCGAUCUGAGUCACUGCAAUAUUUUCACCCAAGAAACCAUCUCACGUGUGCUAUCGAAGGUGGAGAGCAACAGCUGACCAGCCAGAGACGCGAGAAGGCCGGCAAACCAGCAGCACAAACAGACUGAGAGACCAUGUGACACCCAAUUUGAUUGCUGUGCGUGUAGAUUUAUCUUCCAACAGAAAAGGUCAGAUGCGUUUGUGGUGCAGAGCGGCACAUGUCCCACUGGAGAACUGGAAAGAGGCACACGUUCCCGAGCCUGAGGACCCGCCACCCCCAGAAGAAGUGCUCUGGGCACAGAAAUCACACGCCACGAGAUCUAGUUUCUCACCGAGUUUCUGGGCCUGUGGUGCAGCGUCUCUACCUUCAGGCACCAUGUUGGAUGGCGGAUCUUCCUGUCCUACUGAAUUCCGGACCCGCUGAGCAGCCGCACCUGCUCUGCUGCCCAGGACCCCUCCUACAGGGUCAUGCCGCUCUCUGACAUUGGCAAUUUCCACGCAGAUCUUCACGUUGACAGGAUUUGCUGCACCUAAGAUCCCAUCCAUGUGGGGUGGCUUUGGUGUUAGGGUGCUCCUCACCCUUCUUUCCUGGCAUGACCCCUGCAGGGGAGAGAAGUUCAUUUUGCUCAUGGUUUCGGAGGUCUCAGCCCACAGAAGGCCGACUCCAUGGAUCUGGGUCCAGGAUGCAGCAGCUCAAGGUGGGAGGGUGGGGGGAGGCUGCUCUGCUCAGGGCGGCCAGAGGAGGAGGGGGCCUCCUGGAAGAUGCCACUUCUGGGGAGCCCCAGUGGCCACCUCCUCAUGCCCCACCUGCCCACAAGAGCCAGCCAUCGGUCCAGGAUGGACUGCCAGGUCCCAGCCCUCACAGUCCAGUCAGUUCACCUCGGAAUAUCCCUGCAUCCGCUCGACUUUCAUUCAAACCACCAAGUGAAGCAUGUCUUACUAGAGGGUGACUUUAGGGUCACCGUUUGGAGAUGAAGAACACUUCUUGUGAACUAAGAAUUAAGUCGAAGCGUGGGGCGUUUUGUGUUGGGAAGAGCCCCGUUAAUUGGUGAAGGGGGAGGAACGGCAGUGAGGUGGGGUGGUGACCACAAGGUCCUUCUCUGUGGAGCAUCAGCACCUGGAGGGUGAGCAGCCACUCCACUGCUCACAGACGCCAGCUUCCCCAGCUUGCUGAGCUGGACACAGGGCUGUGAUCUCCCUGGUGGCACAACAUCAGGCCCGGUGUCACCACAUCCAGGUGGGCACAGACGCCGUGGAGCCACCCAGGGGUGGGGGCCGUCCCUGCAGGAAGACCUCUGCCAGUGAUGUCUGCUGUAGACCAAAAUCAGGUGGCGUCACAGAUGGCAUGGCGAGAUGAAUAGCAGGCGGGGUGGGCAAGAGUCACAGAGGAUGCCUGUGAGUUCUGGUGUCGUUUCGACGUAGGACUUUGACCUCAGUGGGGCUCCGUAGCACCUGGACACUGGGUUGGCGUCUGGGUCCACCGCCCACCUGGCUGCUUGCUCAGCUCCUCUGAGACCAUCCUGCCCUCGGGCACCCAGCCACAUCCCCUCUUUCUGCUCCAGGAAGCCCCCCCACCCCCCACCCCACCCUCCGCCAAGCCGCUUUCCUCUUCCUUUGUCACCAACUCCCCCCUCCUGCCUCAGCGCACCACUGCAGAGACAUGCUGCCCCCCAGCUUGCCAAGCUCCCCACCGGGAGCACACAGGCGGCGGCCAUGCCCGGGGUCCCUGCCAGUUCCAGCCCAGCAGCAGGGCCACCACCAGCAGAGCCUUCCCCGCUGCCCUGCUGCGGCCGACGUGCGUCUUGGAGCAUUUACUGUCCCUCUCACAAGACUGCACCACGGUAAAGGGAAUCCAGAGCCACACAGAACAAGGACGCCUGGUCACGGCCUGGUGGCAGUUCUGAAAGCCGGAGAGUUUAUAUUCCUGAAGCUAAGACUGAAGACAGUGUUUUCCUUCCUGUUAGGAAAGACGGGACAGAUCUUUGCUCAGCUUCCUAGUACCCGUGCCUGGGAAGCUAGUCCACGUCACAUGAACUGCCACCACAAUUGCAUAUUUGCAAAUAUUUACAUACCGACUUCUUAAUUAAAAAAAAUUCCUCCCAGAUUAUCAA